ensembl:lncRNA
GAAGGGCCCGGUGCUGUUCACAGCCGUCGGCAGUGCCCCGGGACGUCUCUUGUUUCUUCUGUAGAGUAUAGCAAAAGCUUUGGCACUGGCUGUCCUCAACUCCUCCAGCUAUGGCCCUGAGGAAAUGAUGCAGCACAGAUCUGACAGCAGUCACAGUUGUCUUCCCUCUGCUCCUCAAUACAAUGAAACGUAUCUAUGGGUUUCUCCUCCUGCAUGGCAUGACAGACUCCUUAAAGUAUUUUCCAUGUUCAAAAGGAAACAUCACUGCAAAGUCUGUUGGCUUGUGUCCUGCAGAUUGCAACAAGCCUCAGCAGACAAGAAGCCGUAUCAUAGCGUUCUGGAGCAAGGUGAAGUGAAUUGCCUAGGAGGCGAUUUGAACUGUGUGCAUCUUAAGCGUGAAACUCAAGUGCAUGACUAAGGCUGGAUAAUUUCAUUUCUUAAGGAUGACAGCUCUAGUUGAUACAACACAAUCAUGAGCAAUAUCAUCUGGAAAUACGCAGAUCAGUUUCUGCACAGCUUAAGUCCGGCCUUAUGUGCUUAAAGUAAGGAGAGACUUGCAGAGACUUUUCAACUUCUAUUCAUCUUAAGUGACUGUGGAAGAAAAGAUAUGGAAGAAAAGAAGAGGAAGGGCUCUUGUCAUGUGAAAAUGCACGAGCCCUGUUUCCAGCACAGUGAACUGGGUAGACAAAGGAGAUAUAAUGUACUCUGCCUUUACACGAUGAGUGAUGCAGGACAUCUAUGUGUUUGAGUUUGAUAAAUGCAAUGUGUUGUUUCAGAAGGCAUUUGGAAGAGAUUCUUGCAGUUUCUAUCAAUGAAGUCAUCUUCUCUUUGAAGAGAUUGAUUGGAAUAAAAUCUGAGAAGGCUAAUGAAGGAAUUCUCAAGCCCUUCCCCUACCGAAUGAAUUUGGUACAGUUUUGAGGUAUCAUUAAUUGCAGUGUUGUCCAAAGAAGACUUCCCAGAUAUCAGUGAGCUUGACCUGUGAACUUGGCUGAAAACUUAGUGUUUAAUUGCUCUAAUCAAGAAAAUAAAACCCUUCACAGCUGACCUCGGUGUUUUCGCAGAUUUUGUGAUAUUGCACAAUGGAUGGAGACUUAGAACAAAAGCACAAGUGCAGGUUCAGCCAUUCUGAAAUAAAACCUGUGUAUAUGCAGAGCCUCUGAUGAUAUAAAGAAAAUUCCAGCUGAGACAAUCUUCCACUUAUUUGUUUCAUGAUCAUAUGAACAAGCAGAGAAUGUCCUAAGCUUUGUUCCCAGUACCCAGGCUGACAAGCUGUCUGGAGUCAGAAUAACCCUGGCCUCAUACUUCUUCCUACAGUCUCCUACUGAGUGUAAAAUAUGGCUGUCUUGCAGUUUGAAUAAGGCUUUUAAUAUGCUAUGGGAUGUCACGGUCCACAGAAGUGGAAUACAGUGUUCUGCUUGCUGUGAAAUAGAAAAAAGCUAACCAAACUGGUUCCUUCCUCCUGAGUACAUAGUGACUGGUUUGAAGUUCAGUCACUGAGACUAAAAAUAUCAGCUUGAUCACAAAGGAAAGAAAAACAUUCGACAGAUGGAUUUCGUCUUCCUUCAGCAUGAACAUCUAUUUGCCACUAAAAGUUUGGUUAGAACGUUGAAGCCAAAUAAUGUGAUCUCUUCUCAAUCCAUCAAGAACAGUCUGUGGCUUAAGGUGGAUGCUAUUUCAGUGCUCUCAUAGAAAGCAAGCUAUUUGGAAGGUUGUACACGGCUGGGGUAAAAGAAAUGUUUAUUUAAGAAUAUAAAGAGAAGCAACUCUUAAGAGUGGGCUUUUAUUCCACUGUAGGGCUGUGCUCACCUGAGCUGAGGUGCUGACUCUGUCCUCACACCCACACAAAUGGGCACAGAUUGCUCUAAUGAGAACAGGCAGUGCUUGGUGUGAUGGUGCAAAUGGCGGUGGUUAUAGGAGAAGUGUCAGGAACAGCAAACAAUUGGGUGGCAUCAAACAUCGCUAGAGUUGCUAAGUUUCUUACAGGUUUCUCACCACCUUUUUACCUCCUCGUCUUCCAGAUAAGUUGCAAUUAAGACCUACCUGUGGUCAUGACCAUUAUCUGAUAUGAGAUGUCAUCAGCAAAAUAAACACACAUUGCUUUGUGUCAAACUUUUCUCAGUGAUCAGGAAAGUCCAUGGGGAAGGUGUAUAUCAGCGCUGAGGUAUGCUGAGGUGUGACAGCUAAAGGACACUUUCUGGAAAUCUUUGCUUCUUCCUCACAGCCUGUACCAAGGAGGACCCUGCCAUGGCCCUGAUUCUGAGGAUUACGAGUGCAUUUCAUCAUUUUAUGACUGAAACCAGCACAGAGCUGUGUUUAUUUUCAAGCUCUACAGAGUGCUGUUUUACUGUGUUGGACUCAACCAAGGCUACUGUCCAAUUUUAAUAGAUGUAUUUUCCACAGGAAAUUAAUGUAUUGUUUCCCCAAAGCUAUUUCAGUCAGCAAACCUCGCUGCAGGCUGCCUGAGCUGAACGUUACUUCAGCUGGCCAAACAAAUCAGGUGCUCUCAGACAGUCCUCUGCCUAGUUUUGGCCAAGUGAGCUGUGACAGUCCGAGGGCUACCACCGGGAGCUGAACAACCCUACGUAUUUUUCACAUGGAAAACCAUGUACGGAGAGGUUCCUAAUUGCUGUGUUAGUUCUUUGGCAAUCGGUACUGUGUGGAGUCACCAUCACUAGAAUAUUUAGGGGAGGAAUACCAGCACUGUACCAGCCUGCAGCAGCUGUACCAUGUUGCUGAAAGACCAGAACACAUAUUCUCCAGGCCUAGAAGCAAGGGAUUAUAGAGGUACUUUCAGAAGGUACCCAUGUGACUGAGAAGUGUAUGCACCAUUUUUAAAAAGCCCCUUGCUGAGAGAUGAUGGGCUGGGUAGGGCCUGCAGAGAAAUCAAAUGGACGUUUUCAAAAACUGUACCCCUUAUUUUAAAAGAAAGGAAAACGUGAGGCAAUCGCAGCUGAUUCAGCAUCCGGCAGUCUCAGCCAAGUCAUAUUUUACCUCUUCCCUUCCCUCCCCGCACAAAACUUCCAGGAAAACCUGCAAAGAAAAGGCAUAUGUGGGUAGGAGGAGACCUGCUUUUAAUUUCUGUACCUCCUAUUCAACACAAUGCCACACAAUGUACAGGAUGCGAAUAUCCCAAGACACCUCAUACAAUACAAGUAACAAAAGCACACACACAUGCACAAGAAAGGGGGAGAAGCAAGCAUGGCAGAGUUACAAAGCAAAGUGCAGGUAAAGCUAUCUCUAAAGUAUCUCUAAUGUAAAGGAGCUCCAUGAAAAAUUCAUCUUUAGAAAAGGGAAAUGGGGGACUGGAGAAAUAUUUCAGUGAACAUGAGAACUAGAUUUCCAUUUCAAAGCAGUAUUUACCUAUUUUUCUCUGCUGUGUUGUAUGUAGUGGCCAGGUCUUCAUUACCAGCAAAGGAGGAGGUCCUAAAGAGGUCUUUGCACUGAGGUGCAACAGAGAUGCUCCUAUGGUUGGUCUACAGAGCAACCUGGUGUCUAUAGAGCACUGAGUCCCAUAGUGGCUGUGAUGAUAGCCUAAAGAAAUGGCUGAGGUUUGAAGUGUAUCACCACAGCUGUAAAGGUUUUCCCCUUCUUUCGGCUGAGGGGAGUGCAGGUAGGGUCUGCUCACUCCCAGGAAAUACCACCUGGCCUGGUUAAAGGAGAUCCUUCUGGAGAUGGGACCACAUCCAUGUCUUGGUGAAGUGCAAAGUGCCUGGAGCAAUGCUCAGCAUUACAGCUCCUGUCAGCACUCAGUGAAUGCAUCAGAGCCUGAUCAAAGAAAUCCAAGGUUCCUCCAAGCCUUUUGCUGAGGCAUGGUUCUGCAUAUCCAUCAGAAUGACCAUGCUGUGGGUGAAGCACUAGCUCAGGCACAAUUCACUCAAAGUUUGUGAGCUUGCAGAGUUUACAAGGAAAACACCAUGUCUGAGCCAGCCACUCUUUAACGUUUGUCUGGAGUUGCUGUGAGAUUUUUACAGCAAGGAUGUAUUGUUUUCAGAUAGGAAUGAAAGCAAAAUACUUCAAACAAUCAAUCAAACAAACAAAUAAACAAAACCAUGGGACAUGAUCUUUACAAUAUAUUUAUUAGAAAGGACAAUUUUUUUAACAUACAAAAAUAGGGCUUCAUAUGUAGAUAGAAAGACUAGAUGACUUUUAGUCACAAGGCCACUGACUGCUGCAUCAAAAUCCAAUGUGAAUAUACAGAGGCAGAGAGGAGAAACUGCAGGAAGCAGAAGAGGGCUAUAGCCAUGAAUCACUUCUCCCUGUGGAAUGGGGUCACUAGAGUAACUUGUUUAACUGAUUACGUAUUUCUUCAGUGUUUGAGAAAAAAAAAUGAAGCUGGUACUUUUUCAUUGUACUUGUGUGUUGAUCGACAGUUGCUAUCAGUGUGGUGUAAUUAGAGUGGGCAAAGAGGAUCAUUUUGUGAAUCUCAGCUGCCUAACUCUAUAUCCAUAUCACAAGCAAUAUCUCAUUCUUCCUUAAUGGAUGUUCAGUUACCGCAUCAAAUAUGUGCUUUGUUUAAUGUUAUUGGAAACGGCAGUAAGAAGAAGAAAGAAAACAGCAAAAAGCAGAGAAAUAUUUGUUAGUAUUGUAUAUUGUGAAGUGUGAUGAUAAAGAAGAUUUUUAUAAUGGCUCUUGGAAGUGUCACUAAUGGAACAAAAUGUCCCCUGCCCACCAGCAGCCACAGAGCUGCAGCUGUGUGCCGC